UAGGGCAGGGUGCCAGGUAACGCCUGGGGGGCGUGAGCCUACGACCAGUGCAACAGAGAGCAAACCGCCGAUGGCCCGCAAGGGAUCAGGUAAGGGUGAAAGGGUGCGGUAAGAGCGCACCGCGCGACUGGCAACAGUUCGUGGCACGGUAAACUCCACCCGAAGCAAGACCAAAUAGGCCCCUAUUGGCGCGGCCCGCGUUGGGGGCGGGUAGGUUGCUUGAGCCAGCGAGCGAUUGCUGGCCUAGAGGAAUGAUUGCUACCCGGGGCAACCCGGUACAGAAC
rnacentral:RNase_P_RNA from 1 species